rnacentral:rRNA from 1 species
CCUACGAGAGGCAGCAGUGAGGAAUAUUGGUCAAUGGGCGGGAGCCUGAACCAGCCAAGUCGCGUGAGGGAAGACGGUCCUAUGGAUUGUAAACCUCUUUAGGCGGGGAGCAAAGCCGGGCACGCGUGCCCGGAGGGAGAGUACCCGCAGAAUAAGAAUGGGCUAAUCCGGGGCCAGCGGCCGCGGUAAUACGGAGGAUGAGAGCGUUAUCCGGAUUUAUUGGGUUUAAAGGGUGCGUAGGCGGAUGUUUAAGUCAGCGGUAAAAUGUCCGGGCUCAACCCGGGCCGGCCGUUGAAACUGGGGAUCUUGAGUGGGCGAGAAGUAUGCGGAAUGCGUGGUGUAGCGGUGAAAUGCAUAGAGAUCACGCAGAACUCCGAUUGCGAAGGCAGCAUACCGGCGCCCGACUGACGCUGAGGCACGAAAGCGUGGGGAUCGAACAGGAUUAGAUACCCGGGUAGUC